rnacentral:rRNA from 1 species
GAGAGCGGCGGACGGGUGAGUAAUGUCUGGGAACUGCCUGAUGGAGGGGGAUAACUACUGGAAACGGUAGCUAAUACCGCAUAACGUCGCAAGACCAAAGAGGGGGACCUUCGGGCCUCUUGCCAUCAGAUGUGCCCAGAUGGGAUUAGCUAGUAGGUGGGGUAAUGGCUCACCUAGGCGACGAUCCCUAGCUGGUCUGAGAGGAUGACCAGCCACACUGGAACUGAGACAC